GACGAACGCUGGCGGCGUGCUUAACACAUGCAAGUCGAACGGAAAGGCCCUGCUUUUGUGGGGUGCUCGAGUGGCGAACGGGUGAGUAACACGUGAGUAACCUGCCCUUGACUGUGGGAUAACUUCAGGAAACUGGGGCUAAUACCGGAUAGGAGCUCCUGCUGCAUGGUGGGGGUUGGAAAGUUUCGGCGGUUGGGGAUGGACUGGCGGCCUAUCAGCUUGUUGGUGGGGUAGUGGCUUACCAAGGCCUUGACGGGUAGCCGGCCUGAGAGGGUGACCGGCCACAUUGGGACUGAGAUACGGCCCAGACUCCUACGGGAGGCAGCAGUGGGGAAUAUUGCACAAUGGGCGGAAGCCUGAUGCAGCAACGCCGCGUGCGGGAUGACGGCCUGCGGGUUGUAAACCGCUUUCGCCUGUGACGAAGCGUGAGUGACGGUAAUGGGUAAAGAAGCACCGGCUAACUACGUG
rnacentral:rRNA from 1 species